rnacentral:ncRNA from 1 species
GUAGGUAUCUUUGAAAUCGUGUCGUGCUAGGAUAGACGAUGCAAUAUCGUCUUCACGAGGAUCCUAGUAAAUGCAAGUCAUCAGCUGCGUGAUACGUCCUGCCCUUUGUACACACCGCCCGUCGCUCCUACCGAUUGAGUGAUCCGGUGAGCUGUCCGGACUGCGAUUAGUUCAGUUUCUGUUCUCUUCGCGGGAAGUUCUGCAAACCUUAUCACUUAGAGGAAGGAGAAGUCGUAACAAGGUUUCCGUAGGUGAACCUGCGGAAGGAUCAUUC